rnacentral:lncRNA from 1 species
UUCAAGUUCUGGGGUAGUAACCUUAGCCAGCCAUCAAAGAAUUAUUUUAUUUAUGCACUGUGAAAAGGAUGGCUGGAGAUAUUUCUAUCUGUAUAUCCAUCCACUUCUCUCUCCAUCUAUCUAUCUACAUUGUUUUGAGGCACAAAAAAUGCUUCUCUUAAAUAGCUUCAUUUUUAAAAAUAAUGUUUUAAAAACAAAUAGUAUAUGAAACAUUUAAAUCCCCUCUGCAAUAGCAUUUGUGUAAUAUUUCAUAGUUGCAUACCCAAAUAAACAAAAGCCCAAAAUGCCAAAAGGCAACCACCAAAAUGGUAUAUAAAGGUUAGAUAAAUGUAAUGGGCUUAUAGUUUCUGUGUGUGUGUGUGUGUGUGUGUGUGUGUGUGUGUGUGUGUGUAUACAUACAUGCAUGAGCACUUUAUUCAAAGUUUUACUCAUUGAAUAUAUAUUACUUCAAUAACAUAUUAGUUGAAAGUAACGUUACUUUUAUGAUAGAUAAAACAAAGUAAGCUUAUAAGGAAGAAUUUUAAAAGUUCUCACUGCAAUAAUCUUUCAAUUGCGGUUCUUAAAAGUAUAUUUGACCACAGAAUGUAUUUUAAAAAUGUAAUAUCAAAACCUAAAACUGUCAAGACUAUUUCUUUGCUGAAUGUUAUGGGUAUUGCACUCCAUGUUUUGUUUUAAUAUUUCAUUUUCUCAUCUCCUUAUUUCCUCCUGUUCUCUCCUUCUUAUAAAUACUAGCAUAGUCAUACAUCUAAACAUUAUCUUUUACUUUGGAUGUUAUGAUGAGAGGGAGAAGAAAAUUGAUAUGUUUUUACCUUUGCAUUAUUUCAACAUGAUCUCAUAUAGUUCUUUUAAACAUUUUUGCCCUAUAUAUUUUCUGUCCUUUCCUUCUCUCUCCAUUUUCCUCUCUUUCCUAGAAUAAUCAUGUUGAUCUGCCGUAUUGCAGAAGUAGCAGUAAUGGUACUACUAAAGGUGAAUUUGAAAAAUUUUACAACAUUUAUUAUCAUUGUGUCUGGGCAUUGACUUAGCCUGUACAUUAUUCAUAUAUGGAACCUCUAAAAGUCUUUAGGCUUCUUUAUUUAAAAUGGUAUUCAUUUGGUGAAUAUCUACCAUGACCUUAUCACCCAACAUGUCACCAAGCAGCUAAUCAGGCUGUCCUGAUGUCCUACUAUCAAGGUUAGUCUAUUCAUAAAUGUCUUGGGAAAAUCGUAAUUGAUUCUAGAAAAAUCAAAGUGGGGACAACACUCCUGAUCUCUUUUUCUGGAGGAAACACUGGUUAAUAUACAUUACAUAUAACAGUGUCACAUUUAUUGAAUAAAUUAAGCUCUAAAGUGCCAAAUAGAGCUCAUUAUUGCCAUCAAGCAAGCACUUACAUGGUGCUUUCUAUAUGGCAAGCAUUUGAUCUAAAUGCUUGAUGUAUAUUAACUCAUUUAUUCCUCUAACAAUCCUAUGAAUAGGUACAGUAUUAUUCCUGUUUAACAGAUGAGGAAAUUGAGGAGCAGGGAGGUUAUAGAAAUUGCCCAAAGUCUUGUAGCUCUUAAGCAGCAAAACUAAGAUUUAAAGCCAGACAGCUUACCUUCCGACGCCUUUCUCAAUCACAAUGCUAUCAUACUUUAUUAUCAGUAUAUAUUUCAUCAUUUAUUUUUUUAAUAUACAGAGCAUUAUCCAUGCACAGGGAAUGUAAAAAAAUAUAAAAGAGUUUCUGCCUUCAGGGUUCUUCAAUCUAGUUAGAAAGAGUAAACAAUAUAAAAUUGUAAACAAUACUAGGCAGCAGAAGCAGUGACAAAGGAGUCAUUCAGAUGAGUUUUCUAGGAUUUUUAAGGUGGCCUGGUCGGUGAUAGCAUGGGAAAUUUGGAAAGGCUUCAUAUAUCCAGACUUGUGAAAGAUUUGGACCAAGGAUCAAGAUGCUCUUUAAGAUCUUUAAAAAAAGUAAUCAGAAAUACAGGUAACUUAAAAAUGUACUCAAACUCACUAAGACAGAUGGUCUGAAAUAAUCUGAAUUAUCUGUGGGUAGAGUGAGUACUUGAUUAAACCCCAGCAGGUGAGUGAGAAUUACUAAUAUAAAACAAUGGAAUUUAAAACACAAUUAUUAUGCCAUUAAUAUAGAAGAACUAGAGUGAUCAGAUAAUUCAGAAAAUGCUUGCCUUGAUGCCUUUAAAAGUGGGACAUGCAACGCCUUGGGCUGCAAACAAUUAGUCCUGCAUGUCAGAAGCUUGGGAGUGACAAGACCAUUUGACAGCUCUGAACGAUGAAUCAGUGCCCAGGAGAACAGCAAUCUAGAAACUGACUUGAUUUGAUACUUCUUUUUGCUUAAAGCAACCAACAUUUCAGUGAUCUAUAGUACUCCAGGGUUAUAUUUAUCUACAAUUACUGUAAUGCAAUUGUUUCAGAAGAAAUAAUGGGUAAGUUAAAUAACAAGACCAAUGGCACCUCAGGAUAAAUAAGAAUACAGGAAAAUUUAAUUGUUAAAAAUCCUGUAUAUCUAUUUCUGCCACCUCUUUUAAGUUAACAGUAAAGUUAUUUCAUUUUUCUUCCAUUUAACUCACAAGCUACAAGACUGUACUAUAGUUUGGCUCCCCAUUUUAGCUAAUUAUAGUUUAUUCUAUAAAUUCCAUAUUUACAGGGAACAUUAUGUAUCAGUUUCUUAACAUUAAUGUCUUUUGUAGAAUGUGUUCAGCUUACAUAUAGACUGAAUAUAGGUUGAAUAUUGGUUCAAUAGAUUGAAAUAUAUUCAAUAUUUCAAUGGAUUCUAAUAAUCCGGUAUAAUUAUUUUCUCUCUAGUAUUCCUACCAUCCACUCAGUUAUUCACAAUUAGAAACCUAAGGGUCAUUUUUGGUUCUUUCCUUUCCUUUUCUACUCAUACUUAGUCAACACGUGUUCUUGAUCAUACUUCUUAAAUAUUUUAUAAAUGUGUAUAAUUCAUAAAGGCAAAUUAUUUCCAUAGACCCGGAGGCAUAUAUAUUCCUGCUGAAAUUAGAACCCAGGUCUUUUGAUUCCUCAUUCAGCCCUUUAUUCGAUCUAUGAUACUUUCAGAGUAGGGACUUUCUUUUUAACUCAAAUCUGUCCUUUCUCAAUAAGUAACUACAGAGUAAAAAAUAAUAAAUGCAAGCUCCCUGCAAACAUUAAAAAAGGGCACAGAAAUACCAAUGAGUAUUAAUGUGCAUAAAACACUAUUAGCAUUACCUAUGACACUUGACUCUGAAUUUAUCAUUCUUAUGCUUCAUUAAAGAAUGUUUUGCUGAAUGUCCCCCUGGUCAAUGUCUCCACCUGUGCUGUGGAUCUUAACUGCUUUUGCCCCCUCCUGAAUCCUGCUCAGGGAAUACUUCCCUCCCCACAGUAUCUAACAUCUCCAUCCCCCUUCUCUCCUCCCUUGCUCUUUCCCUUCAGCCUAUAACUAUCCUUAUAUUUCUUCCAACUUAAGAAACAAAGAAAAGCAAACACACACAAAAACCCCAAAACUAAACUAAACUGAAAGCAUUUCCUUGUCACCUCCCCUCACCACACAACUGUCACUAGUCUUUGUUUGUUUGUUUGUUUUUUGAGAUGGAGUCUCUCUCUGUUACCAGGGCUCUGUCACUCACUGAGUCAUAAAAAAUUGGGUAAAUAAUUAUCUUACUUGUUUUUAUUCAUCCUUCUUAAGUGUACAUAUAGCUCACAUUAAUUUCAACGUUUAAGAUUAGAUGUGUUUUUAAUCUUUAUUUAGAAGUUUAGUAACGUUUUUGUGACCAGAAAUAUGCCUAGGAACUUAACUCUUGUUUAUAUCAAUUAGCCUAUGGUAAAAUUAGUUUUCUUAUACAUCAUUUCACAUAAAGUUGCAGUUUCCAGGAGCCUAGUGACAAUGUUAAGUGAGGACUUACUGUAUUAGUUCCUUGAGAUGCCUGGAGAGUUCUGUGCCUAGUAUUAGUAAGUUAGGAACCACUGCAUAUUGUGUCAUCCUCUUGAAGAGUCACAGUUGACAUCAGCAUAUUAAAAAAAACUCUGAAAAUUUUAAGGUUUGAGACACUGGCCCAAAGAAGAGUACAUCCUAAUUAGACCAUUACUCCAAAAUCGAUUUCCUCAGAAAAACGAUUAUAUUGCAUUUGUUUGUUUGUUUUUUGUUUUUUAUUUUUUUGAGAUGGAGUUCUGCUCUUGUUGCCCAGGCUGGAGUGCAAUAGUGCGAUCUCCGUUCACUGCAACCUCCACCUCCCAGGUUCAAGCAAUACUCCUGCCUCAGCCUCCCAAGUAGCUAGGACUACAGGCAUGUGCCACCACACCUGGCUAAUUUUGUAUUUUUAGUAGAGACGAGGUUUCACCAUGUUGCCCAGGCUCUUCUCGAACUCCUGACCUCAGGUGAUCCACCCACCUUGGCCUCCCAAAGUGCCGGGAUUACAGGUGUGAGCCACUCAGCCCAGCCAGAUUACAUUGCAUUUUUGAGAUGAGAGGAAGAAGUUAGAAAUAACGGGCUUUGUUGUACUUAGUGGGAGGAAUAUAAUUUUAUUCUAGAAGGUAAAUGAACUCUCUGAGAUUUAGCUAGGGCAGGGCAGCAGAAUGUGACAACAGUGGUGUUUCUGCCACAACUACAAAAAAUAUCAUGAUACAGGGGUUGGCAAACUACAGCCCUUGUGGUCAGUUUUUGUAUGAAGCAAAGAAAGGCUUUUAUAUUUUUUAAUGGUUGAAAAACAUCAAAAGAUUAAUAUUUUAUGAUGUGAAAAUUAUGUAAAAUUAAAUUUCAGUGUUUAAAGAUUUAUUGAAACACAGCCCCACCCAUUUAUUUAUGUAUUGUAUACGGCUGCUGUCACUGUACAAAAAAGAGGUGAGCAGUUGCUGAGAAUGUAUGGAUCACAAAGUCAAAAGUAUUUACUAUCUGGCAUACAGAAAAAAACCUGCCAACUUCUGCAACAAUGGACAUAAAAACAUAAAUUUACAAAGAUUAAAAUAUAUGGUAUUUUAUAUUUUAUUUUUCCCCUCCUCUUAUUUUUAAAAAUUAUAGUUUAUUGCCUAAGAUUCAGUAUUAGGCCCUAUAUUUUGUUUAGUGAGGGUGUCGAACUAAAGAAAAAAUGCAUAGGUGGUUAGAUGGUAUUUGUAUUUAAGUAUUUCUCAAGGCUUAACACUCAAUUAGGACUUUAGGAACUUAGGCCUCUACAUUGUUUGUAUAAUUAGGCCAUCCUUCUAAGAAGCAUGGAGCUUGUGAAAUGGAAGAUCUCUGGUUCUGCAGAACAUCAUAAUGAAUUUAGUAUGUAAGUUUGACCCUUGGAACUGUGAAGAGCAGAAGAGCUCUGUAAAAGAAAGGGACAAAAAUCUGCAGAGUCCUAAAGGAAGAGAAAGAGAGAAAGACAGAGAGAGAGAGAAGAAAUGAACAAAUGGAAGAUCAUAGGUAACAUAACAUAAGCCCCUUCAAGAGAGCCCCUCAAAACAUUCCAAAAGUCUGCAAAUGACAUGAAUGCUUGAGGUAGGGGAUUUUGUUGUGAAAAUCUGGAAAGGGUGGAGUUUAACAUUUGGGGUGAGUAAUAGCUCAAACCCAAGAGAUAAAGAAAACCAAGGAAAUUAGUAGAAAAAUUGGGGAAGGCACAAGGAUUUCAGAAGCUGCAUAAUUGAGUAGUUCAUACUUGAGUGGUUCAUCUUACCUAGAUCUCCAGAGAGAGGAAGGUAGCAUCUGAUAUCUGACUUACAUAAUCAAUAAAUAUUUGUCGAAAGUUACAAUUAGGAGGAAUAAUUUGGGGGGCUCUAUUGCACAGUAGGGUGAAGAUGGUUAACAGUAAGGUAUAUUACAAAACAGCUGGAAGAGGGUUUUUAAUGUUUUCACCAUAAAGAAAUGAUAAAUGCAUGCGGUGAUGAUGGAUAUGCUAAACCCUGAUUUGACCAUUACACAACAUAUACAUGUGUCUAAACAUCAAAUUUUAGGCCAUAAAUACAUACAAUUACAAUGUGUUAAUUAAAAAUAAAAUAAAUAAAUAAAUAUUUGUUGAAUGGUGAACUGGCACAAGUUACUUAACUUUGUAAUGUCUCAUUUCCUCUUCCAGCAAAUGGGGACAAGAAAAUCUACUUCUCGUCGCUGUGAGGAUUAAAUUCAUUAUGCAUGUAGCCCUGUAUCUGGCAUGUAAUAGGGCCUCAACUGGUGGUAAUUAUUGUUCCCAUUACUUUUGUUUCAUAAUUUUAAGCAGACUGUCAGGCACAUAGUAGGUGCUCAAGUAGCAUUUGUUGCAUAUGAAAUAAAAAAAUGUUCUCUCCAUGACAAAUGUGAACCCAGUAUGAAACCAUGGGUACCUUUUAAAUAGUGCUGUAGUUUUACAUUUUGACUAUGACUGAAAGGAACACUAAUAAGACAAGUUGCCUAAACUGUUAUGAAAUUGGGAUUAUUACAGUGGCAGGUUCCUUUUACUCAUAGUAGCCUUAACACUAUCAAACCUCUGAGGCCCUGGAGACUCAUUGGCCCUACACCGCCAUAAGAUAUCAUGCAGAAAUAUCACAGCCUGUAGAUGAUUGUAAUCAAACACUCCUAAGUUUGAUUGAGACAAAGAGGCAAAGAGGAUAGCAAAAAAUAUCUAUUCAUUUUAGAAAAAAUGUGAAUAAGGGAGCCACAUGAGGAAAAUGUUCUUUUUCCCUCAGAACAUUUUGGAAAAUGUAACGUUUUACAACUGGCUGCUUCUUCCUUCCACAUUUGAAGGUAGGACAAAUUCAGAAAGGAAAAUGGACCUUUAUCUCUGGCCUGUCUAUGACCUUCAGCAGAGGUUGAGAUGGAAAAGAAAAAGUAGCAGAUCUU